rnacentral:lncRNA from 1 species
GGAAGAAUAAAACUUGAUAACUGUGACUUGUACAAUAAAUUCAGCCAUGAUUCAUAUGAUCAUAACUGACAUAACGGAUGCCCUGCCCUUCUGACUGAUUUGAUUGCAUUUUAGAUAAGAAUGUCCAUCCCAAAACAUGUGGAUUUUAGGUUGGGAUGUUAAGGAUGCUUUUCCUCUGCCAAACAUCAAGAUUGCUUGAUGCCAAACACUAAAACUUUGAAAAAUACCUCUUUUUAAACGGAAGUCCUUCUAAUGAAUAUAGGAAAUGUUUGGAAGUAACUAAAGGAGGAUGGAGGAUCUCCUUCAAAAACUUGAGAAUAAAGGACAUAAGUCUGUCCUCCUCUAAUAGCUAUACUAUAAAAUUAACACACAAUUGGUCCCAUUAGGGACAUCCAGGCAUAUCACCUUAAGGACACUGGCAGUGAAAGACAAGACUUGCCAAAUCUGAUGGAUGGUAUUUCCUUAUCUAAACAAAGGAAGAAAUUCAUAUGCCCAUCAGAGGAGGGCUGAUCAGCAAUGGACACUUGGACAAAGAAGGACAGAGACAAAGCCUCCACCACAGCAGAGCCUGCAGGAUUGUUUUGGAUUCCUUUCCCACUCUGAUGACAGUGAUCACGAAUCUCUGUUUAUUAGCGACAGUCCAGGUAAUGAUAGUUGCUGCAAGGAGUUCCAGGGAGAAGAGCUGUAACUACUCCAAGUUCAACAUUGUCUCUUUUGUGUGUUUUAAUUAAAGUUUAAUUUUAAUUUGUAAAUGUCAUAU